CGAGGGAGUUACCAUGGAAACGGUGCGGCAACUCUCCAACUGACGGCUGCAACACUGCGUCUCUCGCUGCUGUUUUCACCGUUUUCAGGAGUAACACUUCUACAACAGAAGAGAAGCUCCAAGAUAUCUACAUUUCUGAAGGAAGCUGCUGACAGAGAUGUGGGAAACAUAGGUUUCUCAUCCCAGUGUUACUACAGCUUGGAUCCAGCCUCACUUGUGGUUACUUCAGAUGAAGACCCCAGAUGAUGGCAACUAUAUGUGGCAGGGUGGGUGACGUAAUCUUUUCACAUUGACUCAUUAACGUGUGAUUAUCACCCAUAAUAGUCCAUUAGAAUCCGGGUAUUUAAGGCUGGAGUUAUGCCACUUGGUGUGCGUCACGGCUGGGGCUGCCCUUAUGGAGUGCGGGUGUACAGGUGCGUGCUGAAUGGCCACUUGAUGCUGUGCGUUGGGUUGCAGGUUGUCCACUACAUGUCAGCAGUGAAAUUCUUCGGUGACUGUGUCCUCCUGCACGAGAUUCUAUGCUUGUGAGCUGAGAGCAACGGUGCGAUUCAUGUGGCACCAUGAUUCAUUUGGGCACUGUCGGGCCCCUAGGCUGGGAGGCUGGCUGGCUUCGUGUACUGGUGGUGGUAUAAUCGGGUGGAGUGCAGUGCUGCUUGGAAUCACGCUUCACGUGUGUGUGUGAUGCACUAGUGUACAGAUCGGAUCUUCACUUCAGCUAGCCUGCCCUUGCCGUUUGGCCAGCCUAUGUUUGUUUCUUUGUUGUUUUUUUGUGAGUAUUUUUGAGUUGUUUCCUUACUUAGCGUCGUACCCAUGGUCACCAUUUGUGUUUUAUAUUGUGGCCCGACACGUGGCAUUGAUGCCAUUGGGGGGUUUUAAUGAUCUAUUGUAACAAUAAAAUAAAGCGUUUUGCGCAUUGUUCACACGCCUCUCAGGGUUUUACUUGAACCUGUGGUCUUUUCCCCGUUUCUUGACGGGGUGGCGUAGUCGUUUUUUUGUUUAAGUAUGCUCUGAUCCAUUUAUACAUUUUUUUUCCUCCCCUCUGCAUUGCCACAUAUAGAUGAACAUACCAACCUGACAAAUGUUAUGUAUUGUAAUCAUUGCCUUAAAGCAUACAUUGAGUGAUUUACAACCCACUUUGUAUUGUUACUAUGAUGGUAAUAUAUGUGAACGAACAAUGUUUAAUCUUUCUCUGAGUUCCAUGAGAUACAUCCAUUUAUUUGUCAGCCAAAUAAUAUUUAGCAUUAUCCGAGUAUUGUUUAUUUACAUAUUACAGACUUUGUGACAGUAUAAAGUGGAUUUAAAUUCACCAAACUUACCCUUUAAUGUUUGUCUGUUUAACUGAACAUGACUUUGAACACAUAACUUGUAUUAUCUUAGAGUUAUUGACAUAUAGACAUUAAUUUGUUGCCAGAAGAUGCUCCCCAUUGAGUCACAGUCACCUCAGGCUGUUGAUGGGAUUUUUUUUUGAAACCUUGAAAUUUUCUAAAGCUGCUUUGAUUGUGAAAAACAUUGUACCCUUACAACAGUCAACCAUGUUUUUACUAUGGUAAAACUAGUAAUCAUAACUAGUAAUCAGGGUUUUUUAGUUUUUCUCAAACUAAGGUUUUGAUACCAUGGUUCUACAAUAGUAAUAUUUUUGUAAUGCUGGAGUAAAACUGUGGUAACCAUAGUUUUUGAAACCAUGGUGAAGUUUGUAGUUACUAUAGGUUUACUACUAUGCUGUAGUAAGACCAUGGUUAUGGUAGUUACUGUGAAUUUACUACAACAAUCAUAGUUAAACCAUGGUUAAUUUUGUGGUUGACUUUUGUAUGGACAUAUGUGAAUUGAAUGCUUCUGUUUGAAAGUCACAUUGGAUAAAACUAUCUGAUAAAUAUA